UACGUAGGCAGUAAGCGUUGUUCGGAAUUACUGGGCGUAAAGGGUGCGUAGGCGGCUUUUUAAGUUUGGUGUGAAAUCUCCUGGCUCAACUGGGAGGGUGCGCCGAAUACUGAGAAGCUAGAGUGUGGGAGAGGAAAGUGGAAUUCCUGGUGUAGCGGUGAAAUGCGUAGAUAUCAGGAGGAACACCAAUAGCGAAGGCAGCUCGCUGGGACGUUACUGACACUAAGGCGCGAAAGCGUGGGGAGCGAACAGG
rnacentral:rRNA from 1 species